rnacentral:rRNA from 1 species
UUGACUGUACAAAGGUAGCAUAAUCAUUAGUCUUUUAAUAGAGGGCUGGAAUGAAAGGUUUCACGAGGAACUGACUGUCUCAUUUUAUUUGUUUUAAAAUUUAAUUUUUUAGUUAAAAAGCUAAAAUUUUAUUGGUAGACGAGAAGACCCUAUAGAGCUUUACAUGAACUUAAUUAAAUAUUUUUAUAUUAAUAUUUUUAUUUAUCUUUAUGUUUUGUUGGGGUGACAAAAAUAUAUAAUUAACUUUUUUAUUUACUUUACAUUGAUUUAUGAAUAUUAGAUCCAUUCUUAUUGAUUAUUAGACUAAGUUACCUUAGGGAUAACAGCGUAAUAU